UAGGGAAUCUUCGGCAAUGGACGAAAGUCUGACCGAGCAACGCCGCGUGAGUGAAGAAGGUUUUCGGAUCGUAAAACUAUGUUGUUAGAGAAGAACAAGAACGUUAGUAACUGAACGUCACCUGACGGUAUCUAACCAGAAAGCCACGGCUAACUACGUGCCAGCAGCCGCGGUAAUACGUAGGUGGCAAGCGUUGUCCGGAUUUAUUGGGCGUAAAGCGAGCGCAGGCGGUUUCUUAAGUCUGAUGUGAAAGCCCCCGGCUCAACCGGGGAGGGUCAUUGGAAACUUGGAGACUUGAGUGCAGAAGAGGAGAGUGGAAUUCCAUUUGUAGCAGUUACAUGCGUAUAUAUAUGGAGGAACACCAGUGGCGAAGGCGGCUCUCUGGUCUGUAACUGACGCUGAGGCUCGAAAGCGUGGGGAGCAAACAGG
rnacentral:rRNA from 1 species